ACGUAGGGUGCGAGCGUUGUCCGGAAUUAUUGGGCGUAAAGGGCUUGUAGGCGGUUUGUCGCGUCUGCCGUGAAAUCCUCUGGCUUAACUGGGGGCGUGCGGUGGGUACGGGCAGGCUUGAGUGCGGUAGGGGAGACUGGAACUCCUGGUGUAGCGGUGGAAUGCGCAGAUAUCAGGAAGAACACCGGUGGCGAAGGCGGGUCUCUGGGCCGUUACUGACGCUGAGGAGCGAAAGCGUGGGGAGCGAACAG
rnacentral:rRNA from 1 species